rnacentral:rRNA from 1 species
CCUACGGGUGGCAGCAGUGAGGAAUAUUGGUCAAUGGACGCGAGUCUGAACCAGCCAAGUAGCGUGAAGGAUGACUGCCCUAUGGGUUGUAAACUUCUUUUAUAUGGGAAUAAAAUGUUCCACGUGUGGCUUUUUGUAUGUACCAUAUGAAUAAGGAUCGGCUAACUCCGUGCCAGCAGCCGCGGUAAUACGGAGGAUCCGAGCGUUAUCCGGAUUUAUUGGGUUUAAAGGGAGCGUAGGAGGACUGUUAAGUCAGUUGUGAAAGUUGGCGGCUCAACCGUAUAAGUGCAGUUGAAACUGGCAGUCUUGAGUACGGUAGAGGUAGGCGGAAUUCGUGGUGUAGCGGUGAAAUGCUUAGAUAUCACGAAGAACUCCGAUUGCGAAGGCAGCUCACUGGAGUGCAACUGACACUGAGGCUCGAAAGUGUGGGUAUCGAACAGGAUUAGAUACCCGAGUAGUC